GAUGAACGCUGGCGGCGUGCCUAAUACAUGCAAGUCGAGCGGACAGAUGAGGAGCUUGCUCCUCUGACGUUAGCCGAGGACGGGUGAGUAACACGUGGAUCACCUACCUAAAAGACUGGGAUAACCUCGGGAAACCGGAGCUAAUACCGGAUAAUAUACUGCACCGCAUGGUUCAAUGGUGAAAGUCGGUUUUGCUGUCACUUCUAGCUGGAUACGGGCGGCAUUAGCUAGUUGGUAGGGUAACGGCUUACCAAGGGAACGCUGCGUAGCCGACCUGACGGGGGGAUCGGCGACAGAGGAACUGAGACACGGUCCAGACUCCUACGGGAGGCAGCAGUAGGGAAUCGUCCGCAAUGGGCGAAAGCCUGAAGGAGGAGCGGCGCGUGAGUGAUGAAGGGCUGCGUAUCGUAAAACUCUGUUAUUGGGGUAGAACGAAUGUGUAAGUAACGAUGCACGUGUGGACGGUACCUAUUCAGAAAGCCACGGUUAACUACGU
rnacentral:rRNA from 1 species